rnacentral:sRNA from 1 species
CAGUUGCGGGCUGUUGAAGUGAACGUGGAUGUCCAGCGCGCCGGGCGUCGCGAUCAACCCGUCAGCGGGGAUGGUAUCGGUGCUCGGACCGAUUACCAUGUCGACGCCGUCCAUGGUGUCUGGAUUGCCGGCCUUCCCGACGCCGACGAUCUUCCCGUCGCGGACGCCGAUAUCGCCCUUGCAAAUCCCCAGCACGGGAUCGAUUAUCACGACGUUCGUAAAGGCCCAGUCGAGGGUCCCUUCGGCCUGGGUCGUUCCCGACUG